CCCAUCAUGCUGAGUCCCAAUGCUGGUGGACACCUGGGCAUCUUCCCUAAUAGUGGAUGGAUGAGGCUUAGCUGUUAGGAUGUUGUGAACCUGUAUAUAUCAGGGGAAAUUACCCACAGAGAAAAGUCAGCCAUCUGUCCCUCUGAAGAGGAUCGAACUCUGGGAAAGUAAAGUAUAGAAACAGUGGGCACAAGCCCCUCCAAGAGGGGAUCUAUUAAGCCGAAGAGCCUUCUAUCCUUGGGUGGGUUUGCCCAGAGGAGCCCCAGUCAGUUGGUAUCUGUUGAGUCGAGGGAUGGAGACUAAUCUCAAGGGAGUGAAUCCAGCUUUGGGAACAAGAAGAGAAACAAAGAGGCUCACAUUUUGAAAAUAACACAUAACGGGGUCCUACACUCAAGAGUUCAAGGUGUAGUCUUGGCCGAUGUUGAGGUUGUUCUCUGCAUCGCACUGGUCUGAACGCGUCUCCAGAGAGAACAAACGAACAGGCUUCAUGAACGGGGGUGCAGGAUGCCUCACUCAACACCGUCCAGCGGAGGGGCGCCUGGGUGGUGCAGUCGGUUAAGCGUCGGACUU